CCAGCCGGCCGGACGGCCGCUGCCGGAUAUCGUUGAGGCGAAACGGGCUCUAAAGGCUCGCGAGCAAAGCGUCCGGUGGAGGAAAGUCCGGGCUCCCAGAGAACACGGUGGCGGCUAACGGCCGCCGGGGGCGACCCCAGGGAAAGUGCCACAGAGAACAUACCGCCUCCGCGCCUCCGGGCUCGGCGGUAAGGGUGAAAAGGUGCGGUAAGAGCGCACCGCGCUUCUGGCAACAGAAGCGGCAGGGCAAACCCCACCGGGAGCAAGAUCAAAUAGGGGUGGGCGCGCGGAGCGGGAAACCGCAGACGCAAGGCGCGUUCUCACGCUACCUGCCCGGGUUGAUUGCACGAGGCGCUUGGCGACAGGCGUCCCAGAUGAAUGGUCGUCGCGGAGGCGCAAUCCUCCAAACAGAACCCGGCUUACAGGCCGGCUGGUAUU
rnacentral:RNase_P_RNA from 2 species